GAGAUGGAGUCUCGCUCUGUCGCCCAGGCUGGAGUACAGUGGCGCGAUCUCAGCCCACUGCAACCUCCACCUCCAGGGUUCAAGCAGUUCUCCUGCCUCAGCCUCCUGAGUAGCUGGGAUUACAGGCGUGUGCAACCACGUCUGGCUAUUUUUGUAUUUUUAGUAGAGACAGGGUUUCACCAUGUUAGCCAGGUGUUAGCCAGGAUGGUCUCAAUCUCCUGACCUCGUGAUCCGCCUGCCUUGGCCUCCCAAAGUGCUGGGAUUACAGGCAUGAGCCACCGCACCCGGCCAUACCCAACCAUUUUUCUAUUCUUGGAGUAAUUGUGUAGCUAGAUUCCACCUGAAGCACCUGUCCUCACAUUACGUAUUCUCAAUUUCAGCAGCAGUGUCUCAGAUUACACUGAGAAAACAACAGGCAUCACUCUUCCAUUUCAUUUUACAUUUAGGUCCUGCAUGGCCUUCCCACCAGAGGAACAUGCCCUAACUUUAUAGCGUUUCAGCUGUUUCCAGCAUUUUCCUAUUAUAAACUCUAGCUUAAAGAUCCCUACAGAUAAAUCUGUACGUUGCUGUGGUUUCAUUUUUUUUUUUUUAAGACAAAGUUUUACUCUUGUUGCCCAGGCUGGAGUGCAAUGGUGUGAUCUUGACUACCACAACCUUUGCCUCCUGGGUUUAAGCGAU
rnacentral:lncRNA from 10 species